rnacentral:sRNA from 1 species
UAAAGAUUUAAUAGCAAAGAUAAGAUAAAGAUAAAAAGCAACUGUUGUUCUCUUAGGAGCUACACUGCUUGCUCAUAGUAAAUGUUCUUUAAUGUUGACAGUGCUAACUGCAAUGUUUAAUAUGUGGCUUUUGAAAUGAUAGGAACACCAACACAUACGUCCAGAGUGGGUACUUGUCUGUACGCUUCACCCGAACAGUUGGAAGGAUCUGAGUAUGAUGCCAAGUCAGAUAUGUACAGCUUGGGUGUGAUCCUGCUAGAGCUCUUUCAGCCGUUUGGAACAGAAAUGGAGCGAGCAGAAGUUCUAACAGGUUUAAGAACUGGUCAGUUGCCGGAAUCCCUCCGUAAAAGGUGUCCAGUGCAAGCCAAGUAUAUCCAGCACUUAACGAGAAGGAACUCAUCACAGAGACCAUCUGCCAUUCAGCUGCUGCAGAGUGAACUUUUCCAAAAUUCUGGAAAUGUUAACCUCACCCUACAGAUGAAGAUAAUAGAGCAAGAAAAAGAAAUUGCAGAACUAAAGAAGCAGCUAAACCUCCUUUCUCAAGACAAAGGGGUGAGGGAUGACGGAAAGGAUGGGGGCGUAGGAUGAAAGUGGACUUAACUUUUAAGGUAGUUAACUGGAAUGUAAAUUUUUAAUCUUUAUUAGGGUAUAGUUGGUAUAAUUCUUAGUUGUAUUUAGUAAGCCUUUACAAGACUUCUUAAAGAUGUCAGAGUGCCCCAAGCUGCCGUUCCUUCCUUUCCUGCCCCACAAGCUCCUUUUCCUGAAUUUCCUAAAUAUUACCAUAUGCCCAGUCUCUGAAGCUAAAAACUUGGACCUCAUCCUCAAUUAUUUUCUCCUUUCAACUCUGUUGACCCUCUGUCUGGUCUUCCUCUAGAAGGUUCUACCGCAGAAACUGAUGUGUGC